CUUGAUUAACUAUAAGAGGUCAAGCCUGCCCAGUGACAUUGUUCAACGGCCGCGGUAUCCUAACCGUGCGAAGGUAGCGUAAUCACUUGUCCUUUAAAUAAGGACUAGUAUGAACGGCUUCACGAAGGCUAUACUGUCUCCUUUAUCCAAUCAGUUAAACUAAUCUCCCCGUGAAGAAGCGGGGAUUCGUCUAUAAGACGAGAAGACCCUAUGGAGCUUUAAACAUCUAAGACAUCUGAUUAUAUCCACACUAGACUUCACAUAGCCCAUCAUUUUGUCUUAAGUUUUAGGUUGGGGUGACCACGGAGAAAAAUCAAACCUCCACGUAGAAAGAAACUUCUUUUCUAAGCAAAAAGCCACAUCUUUAUGCAUCAAAAUAUUGACCUAAAUUGACCCAAUUUCUUGCUCAACGAAC
rnacentral:rRNA from 1 species